AGAGAAGCGUGGCUUGUUGAUUCAAUUUUAGGAUUGGGUAGGAAAGUCCGGACACCUUAGGGCAGCAUAGCGGAUAACAUCCGUCAUUUGUGAAAAUAGGACAAGUGCAACAGAAAGCAGGUACAGUUCGGCUGUAGUGAAACCAGGUAAACUCUAUGCGGUGCAAUGCUAAGUAUAUCAUCAGUUAAGAGCGGCUCGUUCGUUGGUGAGGGGUAAGCAGCUAAAGUUUUGCAGUAAUGUAAGACGUAGAUAAAUAACAAGCUUCAACAGAAUCCGGCUUAUAGCGCUUCUCUUUUC
rfam:Chryseobacterium molle strain DSM 18016 genome assembly, contig: Ga0131196_101